AUUGAACGCUGGCGGCAGGCCUAACACAUGCAAGUCGAGCGGCAGCGGGAAAGUAGCUUGCUACUUUUGCCGGCGAGCGGCGGACGGGUGAGUAAUGCCUGGGAAAUUGCCCAGUCGAGGGGGAUAACAGUUGGAAACGACUGCUAAUACCGCAUACGCCCUACGGGGGAAAGCAGGGGACCUUCGGGCCUUGCGCAAUUGGAUAUGCCCAGGUGGGAUUAGCUAGUUGGUGAGGUAAUGGCUCACCAAGGCGACGAUCCCUAGCUGGUCUGAGAGGAUGAUCAGCCCCACUGGAACUGAGACACGGUCCAGACUCCGACGGGAGGCAGCAGUGGGGAAUAUUGCACAAUGGGGGAAACCCUGAUGCAGCCAUGCCGCGUGUGUGAAGAAGGCCUUCGGGUUGUAAAGCACUUUCAGCGAGGAGGAAAGGUUGAUGCCUAAUACGUAUCAACUGUGACGUUACUCGCAGAAGAAGCACCGGCUAACUCCGUGCCAGCAGCCGCCGUAACAC
rnacentral:rRNA from 1 species